rnacentral:rRNA from 1 species
CCUACGGGAGGCUGCCGUGAGGAAUAUUGGUCAAUGGGCGGGAGCCUGAACCAGCCAAGUCGCGUGAGGGAAGACGGUCCUAUGGAUUGUAAACCUCUUUAGGCGGGGAGCAAUGCCGGGCACGCGUGCCCGGAGGGAGAGUACCCGCAGAAUAAGCAUCGGCUAACUCCGUGCCAGCAGCCGCGGUAAUACGGAGGAUGCGAGCGUUAUCCGGAUUGAUUGGGUUUAAAGGGGGAGUAGGCGGAUUUUUAAGUCAGCGGUAAAAUGUCCGGGCUCAACCCGGGCCGGCCGUUGAAACUGGGGAUCUUGAGUGGGCGAGAAGUAUGCGGAAUGCGUGGUGUAGCGGUGAAAUGCAUAGAUAUCACGCAGAACUCCGAUUGCGAAGGCAGCAUACCGGCGCCCGACUGACGCUGAGGCACGAAAGCGUGGGGAUCGAACAGGAUUAGAUACCCCUGUAGUC